UUUCUAUCUUAGGAAGUCCUUCAAAAUCAAGUACCAGGUCGCCUUAAGACAUCAUUCAGAACUUGACAAUUUAUGCCUGCAGGUUUGGUAUCCUUGGGGUUCUUACAGGUCUACCCUCUCUGCUUCUGGAGAUCUCCACUUCCUCUUGGUUGCAUUGGAUUCUCAUUGAAAGUCCUAUUCCAUUCUGUUGUUUUUCCCAGACUCAUUUCAGUGGCAAUGUAAAUUUGGGAGAACGAAAUUAUCAUCUCACAUCUGCCACCAACUGCUGUUAGCUGUAGAAUGUCAUACGCGUCCAUGUGAAGAGACCACCAAACAGGAUUUGUGUGAGCAAUAAAGCUUUUUAAUCACCUGGGUGCAGGUAGGCUGAAUCCAAAAAGAGAGUCAGCGAAGAGUGGUGGGAUUAGCAUUAGUUAUGGAGUGCAGAUAUUUUCAUCCAGAAGUUCUUAGAUGAUGUGUUCCAAUCACUUUAUAGAGUGGCUUCUUCUU
rnacentral:lncRNA from 10 species